ensembl:lncRNA
CAUGAUUCAGACUACGGCGUUUAUAUGUUCAACAAUAGGAAACGUAGUCUUAGCUGUUUUAAAAUGACACCAAGUUUAUUUCGGAUUAUUACAACGGAUGAAUACACGCCACUUAGAGGUGCGUAAACGCUAUUUAUAGCGACUCCGGGGGCUUCCCGCUCCCUCCAGCUGGCAACUCCGGCUUCCUGCAUCCUCACGCCGACAACCGCGGUGGUGUUCCGUGUCCCCGAGCCGGCGACGGCCGCGGUGGUGUUCAGUGUCCCCGAGCCGCCGCCGACUACUGCGGAGGUGUUCCGUGUCCCCGAGCUGGAGCCGCCGCCGACUACUGCGGACGUGUUCCGUGUCCCCGAGCUGGAGCCGACUGCGGACGUGUUCCGUGUCCCCGAGCUGGAGCCGACUGCGGAGGUGUUCCGUGUCCCCGAGCUGGAGCCGACUGCGGAGGUGUUCCGUGUCCCCGAGCUGGAGCCGGCCGCGGAGGUGUUCCGUGUCCCCGAGCUGGAGCCGACCUCAGAGGUGUUCCGUGUCCCCGAGCUGGAGCCGACCGCGGAGGUGUUCCGUGUCCCCGAGCUGGAGCCGACCGCGGAGGUGUUCCGUGUCCCCGAGCUGGAGCCGAC